GACAAACGCUGGCGGCAUGCCUAACACAUGCAAGUCGAACGGACAGAACAGGGCAGCUUUUCGGAGUGGAACUGGAAAGUUAGUGGCGGAUGGGUGAGUAACGCGUGGACAACCUACCUUGUAAAGGGGAAUAACCUCGAGAAAUCGAAGCUAAUACCUCAUAAUAACCUUGCUUCGCAUGAAGUACGGAGGAAAGGCGGCCUUAGCGCUGUCGAUACAAGGUGGGUCCGCGUCUGAUUAGCUAGUUGGUGAGGUAAAGGCUCACCAAGGCGACGAUCAGUAGCCGGCCGGAGAGGGUGAACGGCCACAUUGGGACUGAGACACGGCCCAAACGCCUACGGGAGGCAGCAGUGGGGAAUCUUCGGCAAUGGGCGAAAGCCUGACGGAGCAAUGCCGCGUGAGUGAAGAAGGCCUUCGGGUUGUAAAACCCUGUCCUUAUCGAAGAGAGAGUGUUGUAGUAACUGACAAUACUAGGACGGUAGAUGAGGAGGAAGCCCCGGCUAACUAUGUG
rnacentral:rRNA from 1 species